CCCGGUCCGGUCUGGGCCGGCGGGAGCUGUAGCGUUAGGGAGCGCCCACCCUUCUAGCCCGGUUGCGCGCGCGGCGAGCCCAAGUCUCCCUUGAACGGUGCCACAAUCCAAAGAGGGUGCCAGGCCCGUACGGCCGUCGCCGCGUCCGGGCGGGUGUCCUCCCGGGAGUCGGUCUGCUUGAGAACGCAGACCUAACCGGGUGGUAAACUCCAUCUAAGGCUAAAUACGACCACGAGACCGAUAGCGCACAAGUACCGUGAGGGAAAGGUGAAAAGAACUUUGAAGAGAGAGUUCAAGAGUACGUGAAACUGGAGAGGUGAAAACGGAAGUGGCUCGAUAUUCCGAACGGUGGUGUUCAGUCUCACCGACCUCGGCGCCCGCGCCCGGGAGACUCAAGGGUCCCGUCAGGUCGUGCGCGCGUCGGCCCCCUCGCUGGGGUCGGCCGCGUCGCCCGGUCCCCUCCCGGUUGUGUCGGGUCCCAAUGGUCCGGGGCGGUGUGGAUGCACUCGCUGCCGUAGUAGGAUGUCGCGACUCGUCGGGUGUCGGUCGUGAGGCCGGCGGAGGUUAAAGCCCGGUGUCCGUGUGACGCGCACCCCUGGGGAGAAAUGCGCGCGGUGCGGCCCGGACUCCUGCCGGUUUUU
rnacentral:rRNA from 1 species